AUACUUACCUAAUGCCGGGAACUCCGAGAUCAGGAAGGCGGAGACCUUAGGAGGAGGCCCUUCCAUUGCACUUCGGAAAAGCUGAGAUUUGCCACUCUCCUAACUGGGAAAAAUGGGCAUGUGAUUUUUGGUCGAUUUUGCUAAUUUAUCAAACGAAUU
rfam:Tropilaelaps mercedesae isolate Wuxi-XJTLT scaffold0000032914, whole genome shotgun sequence.